GAAAUGCGAUAAGUAGUGUGAAUUGCAGAAUUCAGUGAAUCAUCGAAUCUUUGAACUCACAUUGCGCCCCUUGGUAUUCCAUGGGGCAUGCCUGUUCGAGCGUCAUUUGUACCCUCAAGCUCUGCUUGGUGUUGGGUGUUUGUCCCGUCUCCGCGCGUGGACUCGCCCCAAAGUGAUUGGCAGCCGGCGUACUGGUCCCGGAGCGCAGCACAUGUCGCGCAAACGAGUGCCUUGGUACGGCGGCGUCCAUAAGCCCCUCUCUCACGCUCUUGACCUCGGAUCAGGUAGGGAUACCCGCUGAACUUAAGC
rnacentral:misc_RNA from 1 species